UACGUAGGGGGCAAGCGUUGUCCGGAAUCAUUGGGCGUAAAGAGCGUGUAGGCGGUUCGGUAAGUCGGCUGUGAAAGUCCAGGGCUCAACCCUGGGAUGCCGGUCGAUACUGCCGGACUAGAGUUCGGAAGAGGCGAGUGGAAUUCCCGGUGUAGCGGUGAAAUGCGCAGAUAUCAGGAAGAACACCCGUGGCGAAGGCGGCUUUCUGGGACGGUACUGACGCUGAGACGCGAAAGCGUGGGGAGCGAACAGG
rnacentral:rRNA from 1 species